UCGGGUAUGGUGUAAAGGUAACACGCGCGGUGCUAACGGGCUGAAUGCUUCAAGGGACUGGUCUGAGAUCGGGGUUCGAUUCCCUGUAUUCGAA